GUGGGAGGGUAAAUAAAUAUGAAGACUGUCUUAAACACUGUAUACAGUCAUCCUCAAUUUCCCUGUGGGAUUGGUUCCAGGACUUCCCCACCCCACCCCCCACACCCAAAUCUGAGGAUAUUCAACCUUUACCAAUCUCCUCAAACUCCUAAAACGACUCCGCAUCAGGGACAAUCCCAACUGCUUGAUAAGAAGAAAUGAGGACUUUUCUCGACUUUCUCCCUCUCAAAACAAACUCACCUGCAGCCGUACAGAAUGACAGCUGUUCCGUUUCAUUUUGAGUCUUGGAGUAUUCGUCUAAACUGUUCUGUUUGUUGGUUGAGCCUUCUAUGAAUCCUUAUCUUAAGCCAGAGUUCAUCUCUGUGAGAAUGUCAGGCUGAGAAGCUCAUCCACAAGGUGAUCUCCCAACUCCCGCUUCCCUCUCUGCACAUGGGCCUGAAUAGUGUGGACAAUAGGAUCAAAUAAUUACCUUCAGACUUUUGCUUUAACUGGAAUGUGGUUUGAUGGAUGAGAACAGAAAACCUCACU